rnacentral:misc_RNA from 1 species
GCCCAUUCUCUUUCUUUCAUUGAUUUGUCUCAGUUCUCUAGUUUGCUCAAACCCUCCACCUGAAACAAUCCAAUGUUACUCGGCUUCGACUAACUGCACAAUAACCAACGCUUAUGGCGCUUUUCCAGAUCGCACAAAAUGCCGCGCUGCCAGUGUCACCUAUCCCACAACAGAGGAAGAGCUUGUGGCAGCGGUGGCGGCAGCAGCGGCUGCAAAGAAAAAGAUGAAAUCGGUCUCCCGCACUAUCCACAGCAUGCCCAAGCUGUCAUGUCCAGGCGGAGAUAAUGGCAUCCUCAUAAGCACGAAGUAUUUGAAUCGUGUAGUAAGCGUGGAUAAAAAGAGUAUGGUCAUUACCGUCGAGGCCGGGAUGAUGCUGAAGGAGCUGAUAGAUGUUGCAGCAGAAGUGGGGCUCGUGCUGCCUAAUGGACCGUACUGGUGGGGGCUCACUCUGGGAGGACUGCUGGCGACGGGAGCCCAUGGGAGUUCUCUGUGGGGGAAGGGGGGCGCCGUGCAUGAAUAUGUAGUCGGCAUCCGUAUAGUCACACCAGCAUCCCCGGAAGAGGGGUACGCCAAGGUGCGGUCCAUUGACGUAGAAAACCCGCACCUGGAUGCUGUGAAGGUCUCGUUGGGAGUUCUGGGUGUUAUUUCUCAGGUGACAUUCAAGUUGCAACGUAUCUUCAAACGAUCAAUUAGCUAUGUGACCAAAGAUGACGCAAACAUGGCACAACGGGCAGUGGUUUUCGGCAACGAGCAUGAGUUUGCCCACAUCGAAUGGUACCUGGGAAGUGGUAAGGUUAACUACCGUGUCGAUAAUCGUGUCCCUAUCAACGUCUCCGGUAAUGGUAUCAAUGACUUCCUUGGAUUCCGCCCAAUGCCUACGCCAACUGUGGUAACCAAUAGAUUAACAGAGGAGAGGCUGGAAGAAACAUCUUCUAGCAAGUGUGCCAUUGCUGCGCUAACCAACUACUAUGUCACGGUAGCUGCUCAUGGCCUAACCAACAAUGGUCGGCUGUUCACUGGAUACCCAGUAGUAGGCUACCAAAACAAGCUCCAAUCAUCUGGUAGCUGCUUGAUCCACCCCAAGGACGACCUCCUCACCGUCUGCAUGUGGGAUCCCAGAGUAAGGGGACAAUUCAUCCACCAAACCACCAUAAGCAUUGCCCUCUCCAAGGCCCGCAACUUCAUCCUCGACGUCCAAAAGCUGCGCGACUUCAACCCUGAUGCCUUCUGUGUAGUUGAUCUCUACGGUGGCAUCCUCAUUCGCUACGUGAAAGCCUCAACAGCACACAUGGGGAAGAUGGA